rnacentral:rRNA from 1 species
AUUGAACGCUGGCGGCAGGCCUAACACAUGCAAGUCGAGCGGAUGAAGUGAGCUUGCUCCUGGAUUCAGCGGCGGACGGGUGAGUAAUGCCUAGGAAUCUGCCUGGUAGUGGGGGAUAACGUCCGGAAACGGGCGCUAAUACCGCAUACGUCCUGAGGGAGAAAGUUGAGGAUCUUCGGACCUCACGCUAUCAGAUGAGCCUAGGUCGGAUUAGCUAGUUGGUGGGGUAAAGGCCUACCAAGGCGACGAUCCGUAACUGGUCUGAGAGGAUGAUCAGUCACACUGGAACUGAGACACGGUCCAGACUCCUACGGGAGGCAGCAGUGGGGAAUAUUGGACAAUGGGCGAAAGCCUGAUCCAGCCAUGCCGCGUGUGUGAAGAAGGUCUUCGGAUUGUAAAGCACUUUAAGUUGGGAGGAAGGGCAGUAAGUUAAUACCUUGCUGUUUUGACGUUACCAACAGAAGAAGCACCGGCUAACUUCGU